ACGUGAUGUGUGCUGAGGGCUUGGGAGGCUUUGGGGGACUGAAGGCUGUGACGUCUGCUCUGCAUCACUCAGGUCCACCAAAGGCUUUGAUGUGCCCAUUAUUUGAGCUGGCUUCCAAAUGUGGGUGCUUCCUGCAGCUGCCUCAUCUGUGGCCAUCAGCUGUGUCUGGGGUCCUCUCUCCCUGCCCCGUAGUUUCUUUCCCUGCCUGCACAGUGACUGGGUCAUUUCCUGCCUCUUCUCCAAGUGAGUGUCCCUUUGGGUACUGUGUUUUUUUCCUCUGAACUCCUUCACUCCUGAAAUCCACCCCUUCCCGUGUGUACACCGUUCCCCUGUCCCUGGCAAAGUGCUGCCUCUUUGCCCAGAUCCCUUCCACCCCUUCAAACAGCAAAACCACCUGGCCAAACUCAGCCACGGCCUGCUGGGGGCAACAGCGUGGCUGGAGGGCGGGAGGGGUGGGUGCUGUUGGCUCUGCCCGUACCUCUGCCCAUGGGAGGCAGCUGCUGUUCUCCCGUGCCAAGAGAUGCUCCGUUGCAAUGCAGAGCUGAUGCUUCCACAAGUCAAAACCCUCCAGGAGGAGCAGAAACAGCAAUCUUCCCUUCUGGAGAAGUGAGAGGGGUGUGUAUUUCUGGAGGUUUGUUCCUGGUACUCACUGGAAGGGCUCCAUGAAAAGCAGAGGCUGUACAUGCCAACAGGAGGAGGAAUACGGAUAGAAGUGAGCGCUGCUCCUGAGAGACGAUUCCCCUCUGGAUGCAGAGGAUAAGCUGUGAGACGUCCCCACUGUGUUCGUGGCUUCCCCACGCCGACAGCCGUUGCUCAGAACCAACACACUCGUGUGAGAUGUGUCAGUGCAGGAAUGACUUUGCUUCCAUCCAGGAGCACAAACUAAGCGCUGGGGCUGCCAGGCACCAUCAGCUGCACCCAAACCUCCUGCUGGCCGCUGUGCACGCAGGGAAUGCUGCCCUGUGGGCAUCAGCUGUGGCCUCAGGGCUGCGCUGCCCGGAGGAGGAUUUGCUGGGAAGCACUGGAGAACACCCCCGGGUCAGAGCUGGUCCUGAGUCCAGGAGGGCGAUGGCAGUGCAGCUGAGCAGCAGAUUUCCACGCUGCAGUGUCUAGCUGACUGCAGAUACAAUAAUCACUUCGCUCACCACCAACAUGGAACCACCCUUGGCAAGGCCAUGGCAGCCAUCACACAGCACGUUGAGAAUUACUGCUCCCAUUCAGAAGAUCACGAGGGCAUCUUUGAAGCAGGCAAGAACCAACCAGAUCCGACCCUGCUGUAGGUCAUGGACAGGCUGAGAUCCUGAUGGUGGAAGAUGAAGAGAAUACAUCAAAUUCUGUUUGUGUGGAAAAACUGAAAUAAUAAGAAAAUCCUCAGCUGAGGCUGGAGCUACUUGGCAGUCUGCAAUCUAGGUGAGGCAGGACAGAGGUACUCACCACAGGAAGGGGAGGUACAGUGCCAGGCACCAGCCUGCUCUGCUGCCACUGCAAACAUCUAUUUUGCCUAACCUGCUGAGAAGCCUUCAGUUGGUCAUGAAAACAACACUGCUGAUGCAUGGAGAUGUUUCUCUCACAAACUGUUAAACACAGAUUGCACACUGAGGACCUAGAGAAGGGCUCCAGAACUGCAUCUGACAGAGAAAUGCAGAGUUACUUAUCUGGAAGAAAACAUGAUUUUUAAGAGUUUCCAAGGGCUGGAAUAGCACGACUCAUAGGUAAAAGGAGCACAGCAACUGAUCAUUUUCCUGUGACCGGUAUGAGAUACGGCUUCUGGAGGUUGGACGAAUACAAACCCACCUGUGAUGAAUGUAACUCACCACUGGAUGUCAUUGUUUCUCUAUAGGAAAGAAUUAGGGAUGCUUGUUUGGCAGCAAAAUUGUUUUUUGUUGUUAUUUUUUCCCCCCAAAAUAGUUUCACAUAUGGGAUAUUGAGGUAUUUGGCACCUUUUCCACUUGGCUACAGCAAGAUGAGGAACCAAAUUACGCUUCUUGUUUUCUCAGGGUGGGGAAGGUUUACAGCCUUGAGGUGAAUAUGGUCUAUCCUCAAAUUAGCAGCUAUUAGGCCAGAUUGUCAGCUGGUGUAAAUUGUACUGCUCUGUUGAGUCAAAGAAACGAUGCCAACUCAAACAGGCUGAGAACCUAGCCCAUUGUGCCUGCUUCUCUUCCAGGCCCACUCAAAUACAGCCAAUCCAUCCUGCUUCCUCACACACCUCCUUCAUGCCCCCACAACUCUACUUUUUCUUUGUGUUCUCUCACAACAUCCGUAUUCCUUUGUUCUUUCUACUUCAGUCCACCUGGAUUUUGGUAUCAGUCACUUCUGUAUAUUCUUUCUGCUUUCGUUUGUGUUUUCCUCAAGAUGCUCCUAACAGAUGCUAAUCUUGAAUGACAUUCUGAGAUAGAGAUGGUCAGCUGGAAAAAGAAGCAGGCCAUAUACUCUUAGUCCAGAAUCUUGUCUAUUCAGCUUAACAUCUCAACAAGGCUUUCUGGUUGUUCUGACUUUGCUUCUUAUUCCAUCCCAGUGCUAAUUCUCUGUGCACACAAACACAUGCACAAAACCCCUGUUUGAAACCUCAAAAAAUAUAUCCGGGCAGGUAAAACUGUGAUGUGGAAAACAAAAACUCUUUAGUAUUUAACAAGCAGCAUAGGAUUCUACCUUGUUUGUUGCUGACAUGGAGAGAAGGACCAAAAGGAGGUUAAUUUUGGUGUAAUCAGCUGCUUAUCUACUCAUAAGGCUUUCAUGUUUGGGGGUUGGACUCAGUGAUCUCUAAAGGUCUCUUCCAAUCCCUACCAUUCUGUGAUUCUGUGAUAGGUUUCCUGCAGCAGAUGCUCUGUGCCAUUUUUCACUACACAGGGUAGAUUUGCUUUGUGGAGUUUAAGGAACUGAAUGACACCACUAACAGUGCAUUAUAGGAUGGGUUCAGCUUUCUUACUAUGAGUGGUUUCCUCAGCAUUCUUCUGCCCAAACUCAGUUUCACCAGGAGGCACUCAGGCUUGGUGGCUUACUGUUCUCUCGCUCCAUCUUUCAACCAUAUUUCCUUACCUAGAAUGAAAAGAUAAUUAAGCUAAUUAAUUAUUCAUAUAGCAACAAGCAAGCAAAAAGCUUUUGGCACCAUAAUGACAAGGUAGAGUAAUCAUUUUUAUCGUCUUUAUACCUAUUAUAUGUCCAUCCAUUAUGUGAAGGAUCUUGAAGCCUGCUUUGCUGCUCACAGAUCUGAAGGCCUGCAGGAUGACAGAAGCCUGCUUGGCCAGCAGACCCGGCCAUUGCUCUGUAACAUAUCUGCCUGCCCACCUUGAGAUAUGCCGUGCUGGAUACGAAGCCACUUUCGAUCAUGCAAAGUUGUACCCCGUGGUGCGAGCCCAGAGUUGAAGUUAGUGGUGAAGCUGGUUGUGUCCUUUUUUCUACUCCAGUUCUGCUGGUGUGGCAGCACAGCUGCUUGUGUCCUGUGGUAUGGCUCUUUCCAACGUUGCCAAAGUGGUUGGCUGUCCUGCUAGUAAAAACACCAAACAGAGGACAGGGAGUAAUUCAAACAUUUUGUUUUCUUCAGGAGUUUGGAAGAGCUGAAGAGGAUAUCAUUGCUACCUGAAAAGGUGGCACAGAAAAUGGAAAAUCAGUUCCAGGAGAUGGUCUUCAUCCAAUUCAGGAUCGAUUCUGUGGUCAGUGAAGAUUAUUUGUAACUAAAUAGAGUGCUGAUGGAGCUGUCUGUAGGCUACAUGGACUUAGGAAUUAAUCAAAUUGUUCAGCUGCUGAGUGUAAGGACAGAUCUUACUCUGAUGACAAAUAGUCCUUUCUUAUUUCUGUUUUCCUGCCCUCUCUGGAAAGGGAAGGGGAGGGAAAGGGAAGACUUCUCAUCUGCCAGGGAGAGACUUCUGAGAUGAGAUACAGUGAGAUCUUGAGUUGUAGAGUCAAAGCAUGCAUUAAUCUCAAGUGUGGCUAUAAUAACAAUCUCUUCUUCCCAAUUAAACAGUAGUCUGUGUGAGUUUGGGCUCUUACUCACUGGAGUUAGAAACAGAAACAAAACUUCUGACACUCAUCAGUGCUGCAGCAGAGUGAGGUAUACGCUGCUCAUAUUUCCCAAGGAGAAUUCAUUUUAUAUUUGUUUUACAUUUUUCCUGUUUUAUAUGGACAAAAGAUGUCUCUGGCAAUGAGGUGAUGAGGGAGCAGAGGGCUGUUUGGUGUGUCAGAUGGAGUAGUAACUUACAAAUGCUGGCUGGCUCAUAAAAAGGGCUAAAGCCUCUCCCUCAGAGUGCCUCUCAGAGGAUACUUUCUUUAACAGAUGAGCACUAUGCACACAGGAUGCACUUGAUGUGACACAUUGGGAUGGAGCAAUCUGUAUCAGGCAGCUGAAGAAAAAUCAGUCCCAACCUCCACAGGGUCUGACUUUGGGUGCAGUAGAUAAACACUUUAUUUACAGGAAACAUUAGAAAUAGCUCUGCAGAUCUGCAAUCAUUGGUGAAUUGUGUUCUAAACUGGAUACAAGAGGGGCUGGACUGGAUGAAUUACACUUUCAGAAAUCAUCAAAACAGAUUCAGCAAUAUAAAGCCAUCUAUCUGAGGCUGUUCAUCGAGGAAGUAAUUUAACCGAAAAUCAGCCUGUCUUAUAAGGAUUCCUCUUGGUCUUUGACACGCUAUGAUUUUCAGUUUGAAUGCCAAAGUCAGUUAUUUUACAUUGAGAGUUCAUUUCCUUAUUUAUUUUGCCAGCUGCUCUCUUUUCUCAUAUGCUUAUAUUCCAUGGUUAUUACAUCAGUAUCUUCUGAUGCAAUGUGCUCAGCUCCCUCCUCAUUAGCUGGUUUAGGGACCAUAACUGAAAAAAUAGUUGAUGUGAACACUGAAGAGGGAAGAAAGAAAAUGUGAAAAAUACAGUAGGAUAUAACCUAGUCUUGAACAUGGAGAACAAAUUGCUUCUCAGCUUUACCACAGCUCAGGUUAUGCACCCGGUGACAUCUGUGUAUCCAUCUCACUUGAAAUCAGCAAGGCAGUCUGUGUGGAUAUGGGUUCCAGUAGUGACUCCUUUCCCUGGAGUUUUUGGCUUGUAAAAGCAAACAAGGCCCCUAGCAAUAAAAGCUUUUGGCUCUGUCCCAGAUUGCUUUAUGGGUCAGAACAAGCAGAUAGUAAUAUGAAACAAACAAACAGCAAAACACAUCUUUCAUCACAUUUAUUCUGAACGUUUUCAUUGCUCGGAGGUCAAACCAAGAUUUUAUAUCUACAGUUCUUCCCCUGUUCCAAAACACACUGGCACUGCAAAUGAUGUGGCAGUUAGCGUUAUUGCUCAACAGCUGAUGGUUUUUCAGACCUGAAGUUUCUGCAGCACACAGCACACAGCUGGAGGGGUUUCCUAAAGCUUAUCAAAGGUAAUCAGAGCAUUGAUUAGGACUUCCAGCAGAACGUAAAUGGUUUGGAUAUUUAACUCCAGUGAAAUAAAUAAGGCGUAGGCUUCUUUGCAAAUUUAUCCAUCGUGCCUGUACAUUCAAUUUGAUGACUCACCACUGCAACACAGCUGCCCAGGCUGGAACGUGGCAGCCAUUCUGUGCUAACAACUCAACACGGCGGUUUAUUUUUCUGAAGAGGAGAUGUGAGGAAUAACUCGUCCAAUUGAAACUGCAAGGACAGUCCCCCAUCAGCGUGGAUGCCUCCACCCCACAGGAGCUGGUGGCCUUGGUGUGUCUCAGCCAACACUGACCUGCCCAGGGGAUGUGACUGUGAUGACUUAACGUUGGCAGUUAAUAGAGCUUUGUUUUCAAAGUUUGACAAUGAGAAGAAAUGCUUGCAAAUGCUUUGUCUGACGUUCUGUCUCCAGCUGCCGAGAGGAUGAGCAGCAGAGACUUCCAUCAUCUCAGGUGGGAAACCCUGAAACUGUCCUGGGCCGUGCCCUUCUGUCAUCCCUUCUGGGGCUUAGAAUCUGACUGUAUCAUGGUGUCUGUUGAACUGUGACUAAUGGCUGCAUCACAGAGCUGGUUCACCAGGUCGCCUCGACUGUAGCUGCCUCCAAAGAAAAACCCUGUUGUGGAAUGUGCAAGCUGGUGUUUAAUACAUGAGCCCUUCGCAGCAGGUUGAGCAAUCAGAAGCGCUGCCGCUUCCCUGCAUGCCCCGGGAACUGCGGACUGUUCAGGUGCUGUGGGGCUACAAGGACAAUCUGAUCUGCUUCAGCUUCUUCUAUGCUCUUUGCUGGGUCACUUCUUAGGAAGAAGGUAUUUCCUUUCUGCUCUGCUAUGUGUCUGUGUAUCAGUUAGGAGGCUGAGAACAGCUGAGCAUCAGCGAUCUCCUUGUGCUGUGUUCCAUCCUGCGGCUCGUCGCUCCAUCACUGAGAUCCAUAGGCUUCAUUUCAGCUCUUUGGCAAUGCUUCUUCUAACCUUGCUGCAAGAAGUCCUUGUGGCCAAUGCAUCCUCCCUAACGAGGCUGACGGGCUGCUGGCGAAAGGUGCCAGAGGAUGGAAGCUGGCAUGCUGAGGGCUUCUGUCCUGCGGUGCAGGCUGCUGGGAUCUGCCUUCCAUUGUGCUACUGAAACAUCAUCAAAGCCAGGAAAUGGGAGUGCCAUUCCAGUGAAAACCUUUGCAGUGCUGCAGCAGAGAGCCUUAAAUUCAAAGCAGUACUUUAAAAAUCAGAACUAGAAGGCGCUGCAUUAGGCCAGUGAAUGAUUCCAGCUUACACUGCCCACACAUUUGGGAAGGCUGCUUCAUCACUUCACUGCUACAUUUGUCACCUGACACCUGAGGACAGGUCACUGGAUCACAGUUCCUUACUGCCCUGCAGCUGGGGAAGGAGUUUGCAGCCCUUCUGCUGAGAAGACAGGGCUGGGUCUGCAGCCAUUAAAAGGAGCAGAAGAAGAUUUCCUCGAAUUCCUGCAUUGCUGUGAGCUGACACAAGGGCACGGCGCUCCACGCAGCAACCACCAGAUGUGCAGUGCAGGUUAUCUCUUCGCUUGUCUAAUCAAGUCUGGAAAAAAUAAUUGUCAUUAAUUCACUGACCUGAACCUGGGCCGAGCUGUUCUGUGCACUGGCUGAAUGUGACAACUAAUCCAACAGAAAUAUGCAUUAUAUUCCCCUACAUUGCCACCUUGAAACGUCCCGGCACUGCCUCCCUGCAGUACUGGUGCUGCCACAGGGACAGGGACACGAGCUGAAGUCUCCAUGAAGUCCUGUAUGGAACAAAGGCCAGAAGGAAGUCAUGAUUUCAGUGUGUCUACUGUACUGGAAGGAAAAACAGAACAAACAGAUCCUCCUUGAAACUCUUCCCACAACCAAACUUUUAAUGUUUUUAUGAGAGAUCUGCACAUGUAUUCACAUUUAUCAGCAUAUGCAAAUCUCCCACUGAAGGGAAGCAGGCUGUGUCAGAGCAGUGGAGGUAGAAGCUGACAGUAGAUCUCUACAGCUGUCAAAACAACGGCCUGGUAGAAUGCAGCCAUCAAAACACGAGUCUUGUGUGCACAUCUCAGACUUGGCUGUUCAAUCUCUUGCACCAGAAGCUCCUAUGGCAAAUGUUUUUGAAACACGGAUGAUCCGAGUGCAUCAGAAAGAAAGCAAUAGCUGUGACAUCUUGGUCUCCAUCCUCAAAAGGCACUGGGAAUUCCAAACAAUCUAGUAAUUGGAAUUCAUAGCUAGUUUCUGUAUGAAAAGUCAGCUGUAGAAAAUAGUGUGUUUGAAAGUAUCCCCUACUCCAUACAUCAGCAUGUAACCCGGAAGCUUUCCUUCCUUGCAGUUCCCUUUGGGUUGCUUUUCCCAGUAAGAGGUCCUACCCCCUUUUUGACCAGAGGCUCUUGUGGUAAAGGGGAGCGCUGUGGGACUUCCAAGCUGGAGUGGAGGGAGAAGCGGGUAGUGAGGCAAUGCUGUGCUAUUGGAAGUUGUGCUGUUGUAAACCAUGGGAACAGCUGACCUGAGGAAUCUGCGAGAAACAAUCCUCUAUCGUCAGACACUGAAUAAUCUAAUGACUUAUUUCAGUUUCUUAAAAAUUGCCUUUUCAUCAGUUGAAAGUUGCAAAUUGCUGGUUUAAUGAGUCCCAAGCAGAGAAAAUAGAAGUAAAAAUAUAUGCAUCUUAUCUAAUAAAUGCUGAGCACUAGACAGGCAUGACUAAAGCAAACUAACCUGCAGAUUUUAAAUCUCUUAGGAUCUGUUGCAGACAGCUUGGUUCAAAACAGCCAACGAAAGAACAGAGCUGCAGCAGGUCUGCCUCGGCACCACUUGCUGCAGCUCCUGGAGGAGCAGCGUUGCAUUUUCUGUUUGGUAAACUGCUGACAGUGCUAACAGUACCAUCUUUGAAACAGCAAACUGAGCAUGUGCCAUCCCUUUGAAGGACACAUGCUGAAAUGCAGGAUGAGUAGUUCCAGAUAAGCCAGCACAGUAUGUCAGUACCUUCAGCGUGUUGCACAAACUUGCUGAUAGGGGACAAAACAAAAACCACAGAAACAAAAGCAGCUCAACAUAUUGUUCUGGUGAAAUGAGAACUCUCUCCCCAGUGUCUGUAUGCUUUGUUUAAUGGAUCAUGGGAGCCUCAGGAUUCACCAGUGUCUCACGAAGCUGCACCAGGCGAUGGCAGAUGGCAGCAGGAGCACGCGGUGCAAGAAUGCGCCCUUCUCUUAAAUGCAGCAUGAGGGUGGAGGCCCUGGGCUUCUUUCCACGCAUGACUCAAAUGAAUCUUCUGCCUAAUGAGUAGCAUUUUGAAGUCAGCUUAAAAAUCCUAUAGUGAUCCUAUCUAACCAGCUUCUCCUACGUAAAGAUUAAUUUUUUAUAAUGGUGGUUUUCUUUCCAGUUGCCCAGGGCAGUUAUUUGCUAGGGCAGCCUCCUAUCAGCUGAGAUAACAAGGGCAAAGACUGACAGUCCAGCAGAGUCUGGGUUGUGCUCAUUUCUGGGGGAGCAGCGGAUACUAUUAAUGGUGUUCAGGCCUAAAUGGAACCAAGUGUCUCAUUGGGAAAAUAUGUUGGGGAGAAAGGGCUGUGCUAGGGGGCUGCAUACCCAGAUUGUGCUCCUGUUGGAUGACUGGCUGAUAAAACCAGCACUCCUAUAUAACCUUGCAAAAGUCAUUAAUGAAGCUUCAGUGCCUCACAGUGAUGGUGGUGCUCCCAGCUGAUGGAGACAUGCUGGAGCAAGCUGCAGUAACAGUGUCUGACUGGCAGUCUUCCCUGCUGGGUGCUGCUGUCAGGAAGGCACAGUAGAGACUACGUAGGCAUAUUGAAAUAGGGUAUGAGAUCAAAUCAUCUAAAAGAUCUGCAAGGACCCUUGUUGUCUUCUUCCUUGCAGUUUGCAAAUUGCUGCUGUAUACUGAUUUUAUCUGAUUUCAAAUGUAGCUUAAGAGACUGUUUGGUAGGCAAGAGCAUCUCUAAACUAGUGGUGAGCCUUUGGGGGCUGUGUGGCAGGUGACACAGGCUGGAGGUUUCCAUAAGUAUAGGAUCCAGUUGGCAGCAUAGGCUGGUGCCCUUGGAGGUGGUAUUGCUGCAAUGGGCGAUCUGUGUCCUCAGCUGAGCACUGGCACAGAACUAGCUGUGGAUGGCAGAGCCUCGAUUUCUUCUUCCAAGUAGCAAUGGGCUGCAAAAAUUAACAUGAGUAAAAUCCAUCUCCAUCCUAGGAACAUGUAAACAUCUGGACGAGUAGUUAUGAAGAUUAAUGUUAUGCACAGGGUAAGAAUUCCCACUGACAUUUGCUCAGUUUGCCCAAGCAAGUUAGUGGAAACCUCCUGUGAAUAUGAACCGUACUCUGCAGUGCUGCGCAGGCAUUUAACAGCUUGGAUGCCAGUCUCCUUACAGGCACAUCAGUAAGUCUUAGUCUUUAAUUGCCUUAAAAUAUAAUAUUGGAAGAAAAAAAAAGUCAUAGAGGUAUGUGUAACUUUUAAGACUAAGUGGAAAAGAAGUAAACAACAAUAAAGUUAUCCCCAUCUUUGGACUUAAAAUCAGUCCUGACUGAGGCAGUUCUUCAAGGAGAGUGGGUGACAGCUGUCUGUCAGGUCUGAGCAACACGUCUUCUGCACUGAUGAUCAAUGCCUGAAAUAACGCUGAGGUGCAGCAGUAGCUGUGUAUCAUUCAUAGGAGGGUGGCAGCUGCUCCAAGUACAGCACUGAGCGUGAAUGCCUGCUGUCUCGUGGUCAGUGGUUACUGCUGUGCCUGAAGCCUGGCUGUGCCUGUGGUCAGAUGCUCUGACAUCAAAGGUACUGUUGGCUCCUUUGGGCUGGUGAACUUUAUUGAAAGCAUGCCAUGUUUGGAGUCCCAUGAGCAGGUAACGUGCAUCCAUCUGAGCGUGCAGGUUUGAACGUGUCUGCCAUAAGGUAUUUGAAUCUGGAGGCAAUGUGAUUCUUGCUAUGCAAUAAAAUCAAGAAUACACAGUCUUUUAGUGUCUAAACCCCUCCCAGUCCUCCCCUAUUCUGAACGUACUGUUAUCAUUACACCGAUACUUGCUGUGUAAUACACUUUAAAUGAGUGUGAAUGUGCUAUGGACUAAUGUGGUUAUCUCCAUAUGGCAGGAAGUUGCUUGGUCGGAGGUCAUCUCCAUACUGGUGUAAUUCCAGGCAUGUUGCUGGUUUUAAUAAUAUAAUGACGAUAAUUGAUGUUCUAAAACUGGUAAGGUCAGUGUUCACUGGCUGCUACAUUUACUUGGCAGCCAGCUCAGCAGUAUUAACACGAAAUGAGGCACAAAUCCCACGUCCUGCUCCCAGGCCUGAUAGCAGAAUGGGCGCUCCAAUGAAUCGCAGUGCUGUUUACUCCUUUGGCACUCCUUUCUUGCUGACCUCUGCCCAGGUGUGCCAUGCAGCAGGGUAAGACGGGGUGAAGCCAGGGCCAACCUGAAAAGCCCUCACGUGGCAGUUUUGCCAUGACGAGUUAAUCACAGCAUUUGCUGGUAUUAUUCCAGACUUUUUUUUCCCCCUUUGGAUGUGUGCAGGUUCACAGAGUAAAGGCAGGACGACUGUUGAAUGUGUAUUAAUGGCUAUAAGAAAUAUAGGUCCCAGUUUGCCAGUUGUUCUGCCAGGUUCUCAGACAGGAAUGUUUAGGGAGCUUUUUCUCGGCAUGGUGCAAAGCCUGCAGCUAAGAAAAGAGCCCAGGGAAGAUAAUCUGCCUUUUUCCAUGUUCAGCAUUUCCCACCCGGUGUGAACCUAAAUCAUGUGGAUUUCACUACUGGCUCUGCAAUGUUACGGGGAGAUAAGGCGGUAACAACUCAUUUGUAUCCCCAGAUGAGAUAAACCAGAAGCACAUCUCCCCGUUUGUGAGUGGCUUCCUAUCAGAGGUGAGAAUAACUGCGCGGCACUAAGCUGGCAGUCAGCAGUGAUUAAUAAUAGUAAAUCUUUUGCAUAAAUAGAAAGGUGUCAUUGUGUGUAUUUCACUUACAGUGUUUCUAAUGUGUGUCUGUAAUUAAAUUACAUCUGGUUUUCUGUCCAAGAAAUUAAUGUGCACUUACAUAAUGUGUUGGUGCUCUUAUGUUCAGGAGGGGGAAAUGAGUGCUCUGCCUUUUCAAGUGGAGAUUGCUUCAUCCAUAGCUUUUUGGGGGAGUGGAAAUAGAUUUAUUCUAUCUUUGCACGUUCGUCUGAUUCGGUGCUGAAAUCACUGGAGCAAAUUCAGCAGCCCCGGAUGCCUUCAGUUCAGGAUCCCGUUCUGAAUGAUGAUGGAAGAGAAGAAGCGUGUUACUUUGUGCUAAGAUCUGCCAGAACAGCAGUGCCCUGGAAAUAUCUGACUGCACAAAAAUCAAAAGGAAAUUGGAGAUUGGCUUUGUUAAGGACACCUCCUGUUCUAUGGCACUGUCACUCAAUCGCUGUGUGGGAGUGCAUACAUUGUCUACAGGUGGUAGUGAGGAGGAGUCAAAGCUUCAGAGAGAGCUGCAGGAACAGCUGGACCUCAUAAGAGCUGCAAAAGAAGAUUCCCCAGCUAAAACAUGUCCAUGGAGAGCCAUAUGUGCAUAGCUGUUAGGAUUUUGGAAUCAGUGUGGUGGAAUGACAGGGAGAUGAUGGGAAAGUGAUUUCUUGAAACUUCAGCAUAUGCUUUUCAUUUGUGUGAGCUGGCACUGCCACGAGCCAGAGGAGGCUUGCAGCAAGCGGGGCCAUGCGGGACUGGCACCUGCUCGGCUGUGCUCGGGUGACUUCUGGACCUUCUGGUACUAAAUGAAGACGGACAUUGACUAACAUUUGUUCAAGGCCAUCUAUGUAAAACAUAUCCGAAAGGUCUUUGCGAAGCAAAGCUUUGCAUGGCCCCAAAAAGGAAUUCAAAAAACAAGUUGGAUAAACAAGAAGAACUUUCUGUCUGCUCGGAAACAUGUAGGCUAAUGUCCUUGAGCGAGUGCCAGGCCUCCGGGGGUUACGUCCAGGGAACGUGAGUCAAGCCUCGCCAGGCUCUGUCACCUGCAGCUUUGUGUGCAAUGCUAUUCCUUCAAAUAUUUCAGGAAGAGCAUCCUUGAGGGGGAGGAACGUCAGCCUGCUUGAUUCUGGAUAGGUGCACGGUCUGAGUGGAGGCAUAAACAGCUGUAGGUAUUCUUACCAAAUGCCAUCUUCUCUGUGGAGCAGGAUUGAAGAGGGGGAACUCCUCUGUGUGAUUUUCUCUGCACUGUUGUCAUGGGUUGCGAUUGGGUUUGGUGGAGCCUUGCAGCGUCCUGACCGAACGUUCAGUGCCAGUCCGUAAGAACAUCCUGCUUCACUUUCAUGUCCAAAGCUACUGCGAUGCUUUGCCAACUCUGAGCACAGCAUUAAAAUAAAAGAGAGACUUGAUCCACUUGACAUUCAUGGAUAAGUAUUUUUUUUUUCCCUUCUUUAUUUUCCCAUUAGAAGUGUUCAACAGAAGCUGUAGAUGCUCGGUAUCAUCCAGGCUGUUGCCUGAGGGUGGAACAAUGAAGAUUCUUUUGGAAAGUGGCUAAAAUGUGGGGCCGUGAGCAUGAGGCCAUUUGGCACUUGUGUGAUCUUCCCUGCUCACAGCCACGAGGAUCAGUCACCAGAGAUCUUUGCUGCCAACUUUCAGCCCAGGAAAGGUGUUAGAGAUUGAAUUGCACUGUGAUCCUUGGGAAAAGAGGGCAUAUCUUUGUCAUUUUGUGUUACUGACAUUUCUAGGGAUUUUGACAGAAGGAAGAUAGCAGGAAUGUACAACUCCUGUCAGUGAGCAUCCCGAAAUAUUUCUGAGUAAAUGAUGACAGAUGCUUCAAGCCAGAGAUGCUGUUAGACACUGAGAAAUAGUGAUUUUCUUUUACUCUCAGCUGAAACUCUGAUUAUUUUAUUUUCCCAAGCAAAAGGUCAAUAUGACAUGCACGUCAUAUAUUCAUACCGCAACUCUUAUAUUUCAUUCUUGCCAUUGUUUUUUGUGUGUAAGUGGAGAUAAAACAGCUAAAUGCAUUGAAAAAAAAACAGUUGAUCACUAGGCAGGAGACAGGCAGUGCUAAAAAAAAGUUUCCCUGGUUCAAGUAUAUUUCUUACUUAAAAACAAGUUUUAUUUGGCUUGUGUGCAGAGCUCUGUCUUCAUAAACCUUUAAUCUCAGAGCUGUCAAACCUCCUUUGACCCAGAGUUUACAGUAAAUAGAAAAAAAAAAUGACAAAGAUGCUCUUCUGUAGAAAAGUGAGCUCAGGGAAUGUAGUUCAAGGUAAAAAUCUUCUAGUGUUGUUUCAACAGCAUUAAUGGAAAUUGAUUCAAGGGAGACUUUUCAGGAUCAUUCCUGAAUCUCUAAAGCCAAAGCAUUGAGAAAAUGAUAAAAUACCUUGAAUUUCUGAUCUUCCAGGGGAGUCCUGAGUGGCCUCUGCAGCGGGUGAGAGGAGAAGGCAGACGGCAUGGAGCUGUGCUGGAGACAUGGCAGCAUGCAGGUCAUUAC